CUUGAAUGAUUUUGCAUUUAUUCCAACCUCACCAUCAUUGCUCAGACUUGGUUUUGGACUGUCUAACUUUGAAUUGCUUCCAGAACGUACGUUGUACUCUAUCGAAUAACUAAAUUAUGCCAGAUUUUUGCCCUUUGAAGGUGGAUUUGAUUUGCUUAGAAAAUCAUUUGAAAUCACAUUUGGUGGCUGAGGUGACUUAUCAGUGGUUUGGAUAAUAAUUUGGUAAAUCAUUUUUUAAUUUUUUAAAUAAUUAAUUUUUUAAUUUUAAAGUCUUUUUUUGUAGCAGAGACUGAAAAGUAGGGGUGAAAUGUUGUUUUCUUUAAUAUUAUCUAAGGUUCUUCCUCUCUUUGCCUGGUUGAUGACAGGUUCUUCCUCUUCUUACUAACAGGUUAAUGAUGAUAAUUAGUUAGUAAUUGGCUGACAAUCUUCAGCCAACAGAAUGUGUGACCAAAAGAGUGACUUUCAGAGUCCAGACUCAACUAGAUACUGCAAACUGACCCAAGGGAAUAAGGGAAGGGAGCUAUUAAGGGAAGUAACUAAAGACUGCAAUUCUACCUAGAGACUAAUUUAACCAUAAGAUAGGGAAGUUGCGGAGACAAGUAGUGACUUCUGUGAGUAUGCUGUUCGGAGAGUAUGGCUAUGGCAGACAGGGCUUUGGAAUAAAGUGGACCUGAGUUCAAAUCCUGCCUUCCCUGUGUGGCCUUGAGCAAGUUACAUUACCCUCUUGGGAGCCAGUUGCCCAAUCCACAAAGGAGGGAUUAUCACACCCAUCUUGCGGGUUGUUGCGAGAAUUACAUGUGUAUCUUAAUUUUAAAAGCCUGGGACAAUGCUUAACACAUAAUAAAUACAUGAUGACACUAUUGUCUCACCCACAACAACAGAAAUGAGUAUGUGUGUUUAUUUGCUCUUAAACCCAUGCUUGAGCAAAAGACGAGAAGGUUUGAGGAAAUGCCACACUAUAUUCCAAAGUAAUAACAUAAAGAAUCCACGCGCAUGAAACCACACACAAAUAAAUGCAGGAAGUUUAAUAUUCUAUGCAGUCCAAGGUCGAUAAAAAUGUGUCAAAAGCACGACAAGUGUGAGGUGAUAAGAAAGGAAAUUGCUUUCAGUGUGAACACCCCCGUUUUCUUUUGCUUUUCCUCACCCUGGCUUCCCACCACUGUCACUGCUGAUUUCCCUGAUGGCUGUGUCCACCCCAGUUGCCAGAUCUUCACGUCGCUGCAGCAGCCUCCAGGUAGACAGAUCUGACUCACAGGAGCCCAGCAGGGGCCUCUGGGUUCCCACAGCGUUCAAGUUGACAUGGUGUAAAGAGGUGUAAUUUAGUGUUCAACCUCUCAUCCCUGGGAGCUUCCGCUUUGUCAAUGAAGAGUCAACCAGAUGCAUUUUAUUUUAAAAUUCUGUUUCCUAUAGCAAGUAAUUUUCAAAGAUGUGCUCUUUCUGAGCCUUCAAAUCAUCCUCUUAACCUGAAUUUUUUUUUCUUAGAGCCCAUGUUUGCUUAUUUUAUAUUAUUUUUUAGUUAACUAAUGCUUUAGGGAACAACUCUCUUGAGAUUUAUCAUCUAGAGAAUUGUAGGGGAUAUCUUUCUCCUGUUUCUAGCCACGGGGUGCUGCAGCUUCCCUCUUCCAACCUGGACUGAGAGGCAAUUUUGAUGAGUACUGCAUCUGGCCCAGAUACUGGGGCCUGACCUGAUGUCCCCCAGAGGAGCUCUGCUGGACUCAGAUGGGCUUUCCCCGCUUUCUGCCUCACAAGUUCUCUGAUGAAGGAGGAGUAUCAGCUAUUCAUUUUGUGUAUGUGGCGCCUGAACCUUCAUGGAACAUAUCCCAGAUCGCAGUGUGCCACAGCCAGAUCUCUCAUCUGGGUUCUUUUUUUUAAAGUUGGGCCUGAAUGGAAAUAGAGAUGCUGCUGUGUGGUAGGUGGGGGGGAGUGACAGGGCCCCGACUGCUCAGAAGAAAGUCCCCUUUGUGUGACAAGUGACGCACUCUUGAGGUGUGGCUGCUGGAGCAGGUGGUGGGGAUGAGGUAAGGCAGGGUGUCUGUAGUUCAGUAUGUUUCUCAAUCUAAUGACAAGGCAGUCAUUAGAAAUUCCCCAGACUGGUAUGUUGUGUCUUUGUUCUUGUUGGUUUCAAAGAACGUCGUUAUUUCUGCCUUCAUUUCGUUAUGUACCCAGUAGUCAUUCAGGA
rnacentral:lncRNA from 1 species